rnacentral:rRNA from 1 species
CGACGUAGGUAAUCUACCCCAGAGUCUGGAAUAACCGGCCGAAAGGCUGGCUAAUACUGGAUAGAGCGACGGAAUCCGUAAUUGGGUUUUUCGGGAAAGGGAGCUGGUAACAGCCUUCGCUUUGGGAUGAGCCUGCGUCUCAUUAGGUAGUUGGUGGGGUAAUGGCCUACCAAGCCUUUGAUGAGUAGCUGGUCUGAGAGGAUGAUCAGCCACACUGGAACUGAAACACGGUCCAG